GUCUUUUCAUAUUUACGUGCUCCAUUACUUGGCUGCAGAUUUAAGGGCCCAUGGGACAGAUGCAGCUGAAGAUGAUCUGGAACUGGAUGAAAUAGUGCAUAGUGUGAGUAGGCAUAUUCCCAUGACUGAAGUGCGGAAGGAAGAAUUUCGACAAGGACUGGCCGCGGACCCAGUGCUGAGUGAGGUGAUGAAAUGGGUGACGACCGGGUGGCCUCACAAAAAGGAGUUCAUGGAGCAAGGUCAAGAUGGUGGAGCAAUGAGACUCUGGACACAUAUUUCAGUGGACUUGGGUUCAAAUCCCUGUCCAGCUACUAUGGUUUUGUGUUCUUCUGUUUCCCGAAAUCACUCCAGAUAGAAUAGAAGAGAGGAUUCACAAAAAUUAACAAAAAAUAGUCACCUAAACAAAAUACAGGAUUUCAAAACAAAUGUUAACAAUAUUUGUAAGUAAUCAUUGGCUAGUUGGUUGUAGAAUUGUGUGUGCGCCAGAAGCCGUUCAAACAGUGGGCCAGCAACCCCGACGGUUGGCAGCAGUGCAUGUGUACCAGCAGUGGUUUCAUUAGUAACUUUUUAUAUGUAUUUUAUGUGUAUUUCUUUUUAAUAAUAAUACUGACUCAGCCCGUAAAAUCGGGGAUAAUUAAUAAAUGAGUCCAAUCAAGGAGAGAUGAUGUUUUUUUGUUUUUGUUAAGGCUAUUAGACAAACUCAGUCAAAGUGUAGCAUCUCUUUUCUCGCUUCUAUAUGGCUUUAACGUUAAUCAACUAUUUUAGAUGAAUAGAAAAGAAAUUUAUUAAAAUUCACUUAGACUUUAUGAGUAUUUGUUUUUUGAACAUUAAGGUUGACAUGUCUAUAAGGAUAUAAUCAGGGGCACAACAACAGGGGGGGGGGGGGAGGCAAGGAUAUUUUGCCCCCACUCUGAAACCUUGAAGUGGGGACAAACAGGGGCAAAGAAAGUGCUGUGUAAUAAAUUUUUAGAUAAUAAAACUGCUUAAAUAGCACCAUUUUCCACCUUAAAAUACAAAUUUUCCCGGGGGAGGACCCCUGGACCACCCACUUCAAUAGGGGGGGAUUGAAGAUUUUUAUAAAAAGGUAUAUUGCCUCCACUUAGGAAAUUUAGUUGUUGCGCCCCUGGAUAUAAUGGUACUUUAAUUCAUUAGAAAUAUAGCUAAUUCUUUUAACUUGUGGAAGUUAGGUAUCAGCUUAAGGCAAUUUUAUGAAAACUUAAAAGUUACUAUGUCUGAAGUUAAAUGUUCAGUAAUUUUGUCAAUUUGAAGAGUAAUUUAUUUAUUUAUAACAACACUGACACCAAUACUUUAAGGCAUCUCUUGUCAAACUCUUAGGGAUCAGAAAUGGCCUUGCAUAUGUGAAAAAUUCCUAUCUGUUCAAAUUAUAAAGAAAGGAAUCCAGUGAUGUUAAUAGUAUCUUGCCACUGCUAUAAAAUAAAAACAGUUAAUUUUAGAAAGGAAAUAAUAUCUUAUUCCGUUAAUUGCGUUCCACCCAUUUUUGUUUUAACAGUUGUUAGGAAAAGAGGAUGAUCUUCUUUUUUACCUCUUGUUACCAUAUCACCCAUUUUUCACUUUCCCUUUUCCUUCAUUCUUACAGAGUUAGGGUGCCAACCAGUAAGUUUGACUAGGCUUAAACAUAAUUGUAACAAUGUACCCUAACUUAUAUUAAUCAGUUCUAAAUGGUGCAUUUAAAAUUUGCUUUUCUGAAGGUGUUAUUAUUGUUUAUGGUAACUGUUUUUUGAUACCUACAGUGAUUGGCAAUCUUGGAACUAAUGCUCACUCUGGUGCCGAUAGGCAUUUGGCUUCCUCCUGUCUUUUUUCACCCGCCAUCACAUUUAUGUGUGUCGCACACUACUGCUGUUCCUUUCGUUAUAAUUCGACUACAAUUCUCACCGAGGCUCUCGGAGAAGUGAGUUGUGAGCAUGCUGUUUGAGUUAUAUUUGCAUUAUGUAACAAAUAAGUGAGACAAACCUCAUCACAUACUAUCAUAAUUUACCAGAGGUAGAAGAAGUGUGGUAUGCUUUAAAUAUCCUAUAAUACACAAUGUGUAACUGUAUUAUGUGUGUUUGUACUCUCAGAUGGGAUAUUGCUCUGUACUAAUGAACGGAACAUAUCUUAACAGCCACAAGGUCAUCAUUAUACCCUGAGGUAGAGCAUUCCACUGAGUCUUUGUUUGUUCAUUCCAUGAUAGGGGCACUCUCAUCAAUUUGCACUUAAAACAUAUGCUUCCCUACCAGACCACAUUAACAAUUGAAUGUUUAAAGUAACCUUAAUGUUAAAUAUUAAAAGUCAUUAACAUUGAAAAUAAUUAAAAAUAGCAUAAAAUCUUUACAUUUUAAAACUAAGGAAAACUUCAUUUAAGUAGUAGAUUAGGUAUAACAUAUACAAAAUAAUAUAUUUAAUACCAAUACAGACCCUGAUAUUGAUUUAAUGCAUUUUUGGAAAGACGAUAGCCCACAAAAAUGCUCUGGCGAUAGCUAAAAAAAUACAGGUAACCCUCGAUUAGUCGGACCUCGAUAUUCCGGACAUCGGAUAAGUCGGACAACCAUUAAAAAUAAAUAAAUAAAUUUAAAAAA